rnacentral:rRNA from 1 species
UACGGAGGGUGCGAGCGUUAUUCGGAAUUACUGGGCGUAAAGCGCGUGUAGGCGGCUUGACAAGUCUGAUGUGAAAGCCCUGGGCUCAACCUGGGAAGUGCAUUGGAAACUGUCAGGCUUGAGUACCGGAGAGGGUGGGGGAAUUCCCGGUGUAGAGGUGAAAUUCGUAGAGAUCGGGAGGAAUACCAGUGGCGAAGGCGCCCAUCUGGACGGUAACUGACGCUGAGCCGCGAAAGCGUGGUGAGCAAACAGG